rnacentral:rRNA from 1 species
UGGAUCCAGACUUUGAUUAUGGCUCAGGACGAACGCUGGCGGCAUGCCUAAUACAUGCAAGUCGAGCGAACAGAAGAGGUGCUUGCACUUCUUUCUGUUAGCGGCGGAUGGGUGAGUAACACGUGGGCAACCUGCCCUACAGUUGGGGAUAACUCCGGGAAACCGGGGCUAAUACCGAAUGACUAAUUGAAACGCAUGUUUCAAUUAUAAAAGACGGCUUCGGCUAUCGCUGUAGGAUGGGCCCGCGGCGCAUUAGCUAGUUGGUGGGGUAAUGGCCUACCAAGGCAACGAUGCGUAGCCGACCUGAGAGGGUGAUCGGCCACACUGGGACUGAGACACGGCCCAGACUCCUACGGGAGGCAGCGGUAGGGAAUCUUCCACAAUGGACGAAAGUCUGAUGGAGCAAUGCCGCGUGAGUGAUGAAGGUUUUCGGAUCGUAAAACUCUGUUGCGAGGGAAGAACAAGUACGAGAGUAACUGCUCGUACCUUGACGGUACCUCGUUAGAAUGCCACGGCUAACUACGUGCCAGCAGCCGCGGUAAUACGUAGGUGGCAAGCGUUGUCCGGAAUUAUUGGGCGUAAAGCGCGCGCAGGCGGCCUUUUAAGUCUGAUGUGAAAGCCCACGGCUUAACCGUGGAAGGUCAUUGGAAACUGGAAGGCUUGAGGAUAGAAGAGGAAAGUGGAAUUCCACGUGUAGCGGUGAAAUGCGUAGAGAUGUGGAGGAACACCAGUGGCGAAGGCGACUUUCUGGUCUAUAACUGACGCUGAGGCGCGAAAGCAUGGGGAGCAAACAGGAUUAGAUGCCCUGGUAGUCCAUGCCGUAAACGAUGAGUGCUAAGUGUUAGGGGGUUUCCGCCCCUUAGUGCUGCAGCAAACGCAUUAAGCACUCCGCCUGGGGAGUACGGCCGCAAGGCUGCAACUAAAGGGAAUUGACGGA